rnacentral:lncRNA from 1 species
AAGUUUCAAACUAACCGAAAACCUAAGAAGCAGCAGCAAUUUCGACCGAGAAAACCUACUGGCGCCGGCGCGAAAACUGUACUGUCAUUGCCCAAGGAAGAUGCCCUUGGGGAAAAAACUGUACGUUGAUGUAUGAGACAGCGACUUAGAGAGAUUGGGGAAAAAAUUGUCUAUCAUGUGUGAAAAAAAAGGCAGACAGGUUGGAGCCAGGUAAAUCUAUUUUUAUAUACUAACAUAAAUAUAUUAUAAAUACACGAAUUUCAAAACCUUAUUCUGACGUUUUCUGGUUGUUGUUUUUUCUUGUUUUUGGGGGAUUUUCUUGGAAUGGGGAAGAAGAAGAUGGAUAUCAUUCGUCGUCGAUAGUGGGUAUACAGUUUUCCGUUUAAAGAGAGGAAGAACAAGAAGAAUGAAGAAGAUCUAGCUAUAUUUUUCCUUAAUAUGAUAUCUUUAUGAACCCAUUUCUCUGUGAAUCAUUUUCUUGUGUUUAUGUUAAUUUUUCUGCGACUAACAUGAGAUAUAUAAAAGUAUGCCCUCUUUUGGAAUCUUGUUAUGUUCGUUGCUCUC